UGCGUAGGCGGCCAAUUAAGUAGGGUGUGAAAGCUCUCGGCUCAACCGAGGAAUUGCGCUCUAAACUGGUUGGCUUGAGUAAGAUAGGGGUGUGCGGAACUUCCGGUGGAGCGGUGAAAUGUGUUGAUAUCGGAAGGAACACCAGUAGCGAAAGCGGCACACUGGGUCUUAACUGACGCUGAGGCACGAAAGCUAGGGGAGCGAACG
rnacentral:rRNA from 1 species